AAAAUCGUUAAAAUUUAUCUUAGAUUAAUAAAAAAAUAAAUAUUUACUUUUAAGGUUAUGUUCUUUAAGUGACAGUUGUUGACAGAUUAUUUAUAACCAAUAAAAGCAGUUUUAUUCUCUAAUAUUUUUAUUAAUUUUAAGUUUUAGCGAUUCAACUUGCAAAGGGACAAGGUUGGAUCUCAAUAGAGUCGAUGGGUUUUGUCUUUUUCAUACAAUAAAGGAAUUAAUAGAAAAUAAACUUCCUACAAUGUGUUAAAACGAAAAAAGAAGUAAAUAAGUUAAGGAAAAAUAUCAAAAUCUUCAUUUCGUUUAGAUGUUUUAGCCCCAAAAUUAAUUAAUUCUUUUUUAUUCGCUUUACAGGAAUCUGUAAUACUAGCAUAACCUAAAACUCACUACUUUUAAAGAAUUUUUUGUUAAAAAUAAGUUAAUUUGUGCAAAAUUUAAUGUUAAUCUCUUAAUGACGUCAGUUUCUUUACGAUUUAUUAUAUGUUUUAUAAUA